GGUAGGUGUUGGUAUGCUAAUCAUACUAUCCAAGGCCAGAUUUUGAAAGGGGGGUGGGCAAAAAAAGUAACAUAUGCAAGUUACUUGCGAUGAUUUAGUUAUAUACCCCCCUUUUUUCUUCUACGUCUUCUUCUAGGGUAAUUGUUACCUCCCUUGACUUAUAAAUUGUAUCGAUAUUUUCUGGAAGAUAGAUAUUCAUCAUCUCAGUACCACGGUGACAGCAAUUUUAAUUAGUAUUUUCAACCUCUUUAUUGGUUUCAAUUAAUUAUAAAUCAUUGGUAUUGUUGUAAUUUUGCACUUUAUAUAGUUGUGUAUGACCGUAGUCAAACUAUUUUGAAACGCCUUAUAUUGAUUGUCAGGAGCCGCCCGUAAUGGUACGUUAAUAAUAGCGUCUUUCACUUUCAUGUCACUUGUUACACGGUUGAUUAAUCCAGUAUAUAUUAUAAAUAUUAUAUAUAAUAUGAGAAAACAAAUCAGUUUUCUCUCUCUAUGAUAUCAAUAACACCAAUUACUGUUCUGAAAAACACUCAACCCUAAUAAACAAUUUUGAGAUUAGGAGAAUCUUUACUACAAGGCUACUACCAAUGUCCAUACGUACUUCUGUUCAUAGAUUGCAAAUAUAAGUUGUUAUAUUUAAUGUAAAUUGCCGAUUUUAUAGAUAAUAAAAUUGAGAAUGGAAAUGGGGAAUGUGUCAAAGAGACAACAACCCGACCAUAAAGCAGAUAACAGCAAAAAGCCACCCAUAGGUCUUCGAUGCAGCGAGAAAUUUCCGCACCCAAAAGAGUCCUUCAGAUGGCCCCUAAACAUAUAUAUAAAUAUAUAUAUAAUGCUAGUUCAGUGAUAAUGAACGUCAUACUAAAGAUGAUCUCUCAAACUGUAUCAUAUGUGUCCUAUUCUGUAACAGAAAGAUUACGGUAACCUGUCAGCGUGGAGGACAAGUGCUCAUCCGUGCCUGAAAAUUUUUAUAAUUUUUUUUUUUUUUUUUUUUUUUUUUUUUUUUUUUUUUUGGAAAGAGGGGGUGCGAUCGCACCCGACGCACCCCCCCCUUCCGACGGCCAUGAAAAUAUC
rnacentral:lncRNA from 1 species